CCUUCCGUAGGUGAACCUGCGGAAGGAUCAUUAUC
rnacentral:rRNA from 2 species